rnacentral:rRNA from 1 species
UCUGGUUGAUCCUGCCAGUAGUCAUAUGCUUGUCUCAAAGAUUAAGCCAUGCAUGUCUAAGUACAAGCCUCACUAAGGUGAAACCGCGAAUGGCUCAUUAAAUCACACCUAAUCUACUGGAUAGUAAAAAGUUACUUGGAUAACUGCGGUAAUUCUGGAGCUAAUACAUGCACAAAGCCGCGACUCACGAAGCGGCGCUUUUAUUAGAUCAAAACCAAACGGCUUCGGCUGUACUCAUGGUGACUCUGAAUAACUUUGGGCUGAUCGCAUAGCCUUGAGCUGGCGACAUAUCCUUCGAAGGUGUGCCCUAUCAACUUUCGACUGUGGCAUAGACGCCCACAGUGGUUUUGACGGGUAACGGGGAAUCAGGGUUCGAUUCCGGAGAGGGAGCCUUAAAAACGGCUACCACAUCUAAGGAAGGCAGCAGGCACGCAAAUUACCCAAUGACCGAAGGUCGAGGUAGUGACGAAAAAUAACGAUAGAGGACUCAUCCGAGGCCCUCUAAUUGGAAUGAGUACACUUUAAAACCGUCCCCGAGGAUCUAUUGGAGGGCAAGUCUGGUGCCAGCAGCCGCGGUAAUUCCAGCUCCAAUAGCGUAUAUUAAAGUUGUUGUGGUUAAAAAGCUCGUAGUUGGAUCUCAACAGCCUUGAAGCGGUUAACUUUGUAGUUUUACUGCUUUAUAGGCUGUGCUUUUGCUGGAGGUUUAGGGGUGCUCUUGAUCGAGUGUCUCUGGAUGCCAGCAGGUUUACUUUGAAAAAAUUAGAGUGCUCAAAGCAGGCUAAAAUGCCUGAAUAUUCGUGCAUGGAAUAAUAGAAUAGGAUGUCGAUCCUAUUUUGUUGGUUUUCGGGACUCGACAUAAUGAUAAAUAGGGACAGUCGGGGGCAUUUGUAUUCAAACGACAGAGGUGAAAUUCUUGGACCGUUUGAAGACAAACUACUGCGAAAGCAUUUGCCAAGAAUGUUUUCAUUAAUCAAGAACGAAAGUUAGAGGUUCGAAGGCGAUUAGAUACCGCCCUAGUUCUAACCAUAAACGAUGCCAGCUAGCGAUCUGCCUGCGUUUUUACUGUAGACUGGGCAGGAAGCUUCCGGGAAACCAAAGCAUUUGGGUUCCAGGGGAAGUAUGGUUGCAAAGCUGAAACUUAAAGGAAUUGACGGAAGGGCACCACCAGGAGUGGAGCCUGCGGC